AUCCUAUCCCGGUUUAUAAGCAUGAUAAUUGGAUGUUCACACAGUUGUAUGAGGUGUCCCUCCCUUAAAACUUGUUAUGUAUUUGGAGCAUUACCCAUCUGAUG
rnacentral:snoRNA from 1 species